CCCUUCUUCAAACCGUCACAUUAGGUAAAGUGUGGAGUUUCGUUUUGAUAACUCUUAGAAGAUGAAUUCAGUCUUAGGGACGUUAAAUGCUCCAAAGCUUCUACUUAAAGGACUACAACAAAUAAGACAGGGGAGUGGACCUUCCGGGGUUUUCUUAAGCAGUCUUCAUGAUGAAGUCACUCACAGUGUUUGUGGUCUCCGUCUCUCCGUGGUCACGCUUUAAGAGCUACUGCCACCAUGAUGUCAUUCACCACACAGCCAGCACCAAAUGAAAAUGUGCAACAAAGAAUGCAGAGUCUUCCACAAGUCAGCCUCUGUCUGUCAGUCAGCCUGCUCCUGUUGUUCUCCUUGUGGUUAAACCACAAACCAGCGCUCUGACAUGAAAUAAAAAUUGCUUCCCAACAUGU